GUCCACGCCCUAAACGAUGCUCACUAGGUGUUGGGGAAGCGAUUCCUUGGUACCGAAGCUAACGCGUGAAGUGAGCCGCCUGGGGAGUACGGCCGCAAGGUUAAAACUCAAAGGAAUUGACGGGGACCCGCACAAGCGGUGGAUGAUGUGGAUUAAUUCGAUGCAACGCGAACAACCUUACCUACCCUUGACAUGUCUGGAAGGCCCCUGAGAGGGGGCUGUGCCUGAAAGGGAACCGGACACAGGUGCUGCAUGGCUGUCGU
rnacentral:rRNA from 1 species